CUUUUGCCAUUUGUCAGGUCUGGGCUCAGAGACUGGCCGAACGGUUGGAGGUGGCUCUCAAAGUCAAAGUCUGGGCAAGAUUAAUGUUUCACAUAUGUGACACCAAUUUUAUUUCUUGGCAUGUCAGGUUCCAGAAGUGACGGUGGUGACAGCGUCUGACUCGGAAAAAUCAGGUGCCUAUUUAUUGGUUUGUUCCUGUUUUCAUAAUGGUAGUACUUUUCCAGUUAUAACAAGUUAAUGAUUUGUUCUGGCUGCCUUGUCAAAUAUAGGACUUAAAUAUACCUUUGUCCAUGAUAAGUGCUUAAAUAAUACUGUUGACUUUAUUCUUGUGCUGUUUCCAUGUCAUAAGUUUUAAGCAACAGCUUUCUUUGUUCAUAUUCAUUUUAGAGGUCGUAUAAAUUACUUGAUAAUUUUCUGACUAUAUAUUGUUCAUUUGAAUUGUGGUUAAUAACAAAGCUGACUCAUUUUGUGCUGACAUCUGAAAAGCAGACUACGUAAAGUGGAAUGCAAGUGCAAUAAUAAAAGAUCUUGGUAUCUCUGAA